GCGGCAGUAGCUCAGUUGGAUAGAGCAACGGCCUUCUAAGCCGUAGGUCGGGGGUUCGAUUCCCUCCUGCCGCG
rnacentral:tRNA from 1 species